rnacentral:rRNA from 1 species
UACGUAGGGUGCGAGCGUUGUCCGGAAUUACUGGGCGUAAAGAGCUCGUAGGUGGUUUGUCGCGUUGUUCGUGAAAACUCACAGCUCAACUGUGGGCGUGCGGGCGAUACGGGCAGACUGGAGUACUGCAGGGGAGACUGGAAUUCCUGGUGUAGCGGUGGAAUGCGCAGAUAUCAGGAGGAACACCGGUGGCGAAGGCGGGUCUCUGGGCAGUAACUGACGCUGAGGAGCGAAAGCGCGGGGAGCGAACAGG